UCAUUACCGAAUUGUCAACACGAGUUGUUGCUGGUCCUCAAAUGGGGGCAUGUGCACACUCUGUUUGCACAUCCACUCACACCUGUGCACCCUCCAUAGUUCUGCAGCCUGGGGGCUCUGUCCCCCCUGCUGUGGCUCUAUGUAUUUACACACACACACUGUGAUAAAGUCUUAUGGAAUGUAUGCCGCGUUUAACGCAAUACAAUACAACUUUCAGCAACGGAUCUCUUGGCUCUCGCAUCGAUGAAGAACGCAGCGAAAUGCGAUAAGUAAUGUGAAUUGCAGAAUUCAGUGAAUCAUCGAAUCUUUGAACGCACCUUGCGCCCUUUGGCUAUUCCGAAGGGCAUGCCUGUUUGAGUAUCAUGAACACCUCAACUCUCAUGGCUUGCCAUGACGAGCUUGGACUUUGGGGGUCUUGCCGGCCUGCGGUCGGCUCCUCUCAAAUGAAUCAGCUUACCAGUGUUUGGUGGCAUCACAGGUGUGAUAACUAUCUACGCUUGUGGUUUUCCACCAGGUAACCUUCAGUGAUGGAGGGUUGCUGGGGCUCAUAAAUGUCUCUCCUCAGUGA
rnacentral:rRNA from 1 species